AUGACGCUGGCGGCAGGCUACACCUGCAGUCAACGGUACAGGAUGUGCUUGCACAUCGCUGACGAGUGGCGGACGGGUGAGUAAUGCUUAGGGAUCUGCCUCUGUGUGGGGGAUAACUAUUGGAAACGAUAGCUAAUACCGCAUAAUGUUUACGGACCAAAGGGGGCGUUUGCUCCCGCGCAGAGAGGAACCUAAGUGAGAUUAGCUAGUUGGUAAGGUAAUGGCUUACCAAGGCGACGAUCUCUAGCUGUUCUGAGAGGAAGAUCAGCCACACUGGGACUGAGACACGGCCCAGACUCCUACGGGAGGCAGCAGUGGGGAAUAUUGCACAAUGGGGGGAACCCUGAUGCAGCCAUGCCGCGUGUGUGAAGAAGGCCUUCGGGUUGUAAAGCACUUUCAGUUGUGAGGAAAGGUUAGUAGUUAAUACCUGCUAGCUGUGACGUUAGCAACAGAAGAAGCACCGGCUAACUCCGUGCCAGCAGACCGCGGUAAUACGGAGGGUGCAGAGCGUUAAUCGGAAUUCACUGGGCGUAAAGCGCACG
rnacentral:rRNA from 1 species